ensembl:snoRNA U8 U8 small nucleolar RNA
ACAUCAGUGAGGUUUGUCCUACCUGUUGUUUUAGAAAUAAGACUUUAGCACAUGAUGAUUGGAUUCUAUGAAUAUGUGAUUAUAUUCUGUAUUCGUAUAGGGUUCACAACUCAGGAUCCUAUGUGAU